rnacentral:rRNA from 1 species
AGAGUUUGAUCCUGGCUCAGAUUGAACGCUGGCGGCAGGCCUAACACAUGCAAGUCGAGCGGCAGCACGGGUACUUGUACCUGGUGGCGAGCGGCGAACGGGUGAGUAAUAUAUCGGAACGUACCUUUCAGUGGGGGAUAACGUAGCGAAAGUUACGCUAAUACCGCAUAUUCUGUGAGCAGGAAAGCAGGGGAUCGCAAGACCUUGCGCUGAUUGAGCGGCCGAUAUCAGAUUAGCUAGUUGGUGAGGUAAAGGCUCACCAAGGCGACGAUCUGUAGCGGGUCUGAGAGGAUGAUCCGCCACACUGGAACUGAGACACGGUCCAGACUCCUACGGGAGGCAGCAGUGGGGAAUUUUGGACAAUGGGGGCAACCCUGAUCCAGCCAUGCCGCGUGAGUGAAGAAGGCCUUCGGGUUGUAAAGCUCUUUCAGCCGGGAAGAAAACGCAUGGGUUAAUACCCUGUGUGGAUGACGGUACCGGAAUAAGAAGCACCGGCUAACUACGUGCCAGCAGCCGCGGUAAUUCA